AUGGCAGAGGAUGACAGGGCCCACGGGGCUGGCACCAGCUUUGGCCCAGGCCUCCUGCAAGAACAAAGUGUCACCAGGUUGGAGAAGCUGAGGCCCUCGGGCUGUGCCGAGGCUACACCCGAAGCAGUCCGAAUCCUGUUUUGCUUUGCACUUCCGACCUGCCGUCCGCCGGGCCAGGAGCCACGCGCCAAGGAGGACGCACCAGCCUUGAACUCUGCGCGGAGCGGUCCCCAGAGGUGGCCCUGGCCUUACAGUUUCCGAGCUUGUUUAUUUUCAAAGAAACGUUGCCAGACCGCGCGGCCAGCCCUGCCUUUUUACAGUUUGUUUCAUGCAGCAGAUUUCAGGAAGAGGAGGGAGAGGUAAUGAGGUCAGAGGCCAAUCCAUCUGCGGGUGAAAACCUGCAGGACGCCUGGCUGGGGGCUCCAGGGGGCAUGCAGGGGUGGGGGGCAGGUGGCUGAGUUGCAAAGUGGGGCAAGGACAUCCCCUACCCCGGAACCCCACGAAUGCUGAGGGUGUUUUUUUGCUUUUUUUGUUUUUUUUUGGUACCGGGGAUUGAACUUGGAUCCUUGCACUUGCAAGGCAGGCCACCGAACCACUGAGCUAAAUCCCCAGCCCUGUUUUGUUUUGCUUUUUGAGACAGGGUCUCACUAUGUAGUUGAGGCUGACUUGGAACUCACUGUGUAGCCCAGGCUGGUCUCGAACUCACAGUGAUCCUCCUGCCUCAGCCUCCCAAGUGCUGGGAUUACAGGGGUGCGCCACUACACCCAGCCUGAGGGUGUUUUUAAUAAUUACAUUCACCAAGCAAUGCUGGAAUAAUGGGACAUCUGUGCCUGAAGAUAAUGACUCCAUGCCUUGGACCAUAGGCAAAAAUGUAACACACAAAACCAAUGACUUUUUCUUUUCUUUUGUUUUUUCAAGACAGGGUCUCGCUACAUAGUUCAGGUUGGACUUUAACUCAUGGAAAUCCUCCUGCCUCAGCCUCCUGACUGCUGGGUUUAUAGGCAUGCACCACCAUGACUGGCGAAACCAAAAUUUUUAGGGGAAAAUAUAGAAAGAAAUCUUUGUGAUCUCAGGUUAAGCAAGACUUUUUGUUUUAGACAUUACACUAAAGUAUUAACUGUAGCCAGGUGUGGUGGUGCACUUCUGUAGUCCCAGCACUCUGGAAGCUGAGGCAGGAGGAUCACAAGUCUAAGUCCAAUUUAGGCAACUUUUUUGAGACCUUAUCAGAAUAAAUCAUAAAAAAGGCCUGGAGCUGUGGCCAGUGCGUGUGAAGGGGGCACUGACCAUGUGGAGCUUGGCUGAGGGUGCAGAGCACCUAGGGUUUGCACACACUGCAGGUGGGAACAUAAAGCAUGUGGCCACAUUUGCAAAAGAGUGUCGCACAGAUGAUCUCAGUGUGCUGGAGGCUGAGGCAGGAGAAUCACAGAUGCAAGGUGAGCCUAGGCAAUUUAGUGAGACUUUGUCUUAAAAUUGUAUUUAUUUAUUUAUUGCAGAACCAGGGAUCGAACUCAGGAACUUACACUUGCCAGGCAGGUGCUGGUGCCACUGAGCUAAAUCUCUGGGCCUGUCUUAAAUUUUAAAAAAGGAAACAAUAAAAAGAGCUGGGGGUGUAGCUCAGUGCAAAAGCCCUGGGUUCAAUUCCCAGUUCCACCACCACCAAAAAGAAAGGAGAAAUACUAUACAGCAGUAAAAAAGAACCUCAGAGUUGGGUGUGGUGGCGCAUGCUUGUAAUCCCAGCACUUGGGAGGCUGAGGCAGGGGGAUUACUGUAAGUGAGAGACCAGCCUGGGCUACAUAGUGAGUUCCAGGUCAGUCUCAACUACCCAGUGAAACCCUGUCUCAAAAAAACCAAAAAAAAAAAAAAAAAAAAAAAAAAAAAAAAAAAAAAGAACCUCAGAGACAUACUACAGGGAAACACGUUAGAUCCAUUAUGCUAAGUGAAAGAAGCCAGACUCAAGGCCACUUAUUAAAUGAUUGCAUUUAUUUAUCUUUGUAUGUAUUUUGAGAUGGGGUCUCUCUGUAUAAUCCAGGCUGGCCUGGAAGUCAAGAUCCUCCUGCCUCAGCCUCCCCAGUACUGUAAUAAUAGGCAUGUGCCCCUCUACCUGGCUUAUUGAUUUAUUUACUGAGACAGCUUUUUCUUUUUAUGUUGCCUCUUGUGAGCUUAAGCCAUCCUCCUGCCUCAGCUUCCCAAGUAGCUAUGAUUAUAGUCUACUACCGUACCACUUUAUUUUUUUCUUAUUCAGGAAACAACCUAGAGUUUUCUGCAUGUUAGGCAAGCACUCUGUCACUAGGUUACAUAUUCAGCCAUUUUUAUUUUAUUUUUUGGUGGUCUUGUUAAAUUGCUCUGGCUGGUCUCAAUCUUGGGAUCCUCCUGCCUCAGCCUCCCAAGUAGUUACAAUUAUAGGAAUAUUUGGGCCAUCAUGACUGACUGCUAAACAGAGUCUCUACCACUGAGUCACACCCCCAUCCUUGAGUGAUUCCAUCUAGAAGCAUUCUGGAAGAGGCAAAACAAGAUACAGAACAGUAGUUUCCUGGGGCUGGGGUGGAUGUUGUGGGAACUGCUCCCCAGUGGGGUGUCACUUGCCUUGUCAAACUCCUGGGGCUGAAUGCUAAAAAGAGAGCUUUAUGUAAAUUAUACCUCUAUAAAACAGAGUGAGAAAACCAUUGGCAAACACUGUGUCAAACAUCUUUUCAAGUUGUUUCUAUCUUUUUUUUUUUUUUUUUGGGUUUUCGAGACAGGGUCUUACUCUGUAGUUGAGUCUGACCUGCAACUCACUAUGUAGCUCAGGCUGG
ensembl:lincRNA